GUGAGGAAUAUUCCGCAAUGGACGAAAGUCUGACGGAGCAACGCCGCGUGAGUGAUGAAGGUUUUCGGACUGUAAAGCUCUGUUGUUUAGGACGAAAGUGCCUGUUGCAAAUAGUUACAGGUAUUGACGGUACUGAACGAGGAAGCCACGGCUAACUACGUGCCAGCAGCCGCGGUAAUACGUAGGUGGCAAGCGUUGUCCGGAAUUAUUGGGCGUAAAGAGCAUGUAGGCGGGAAUCUAAGUCUGUUGUGAAAAUGCGGGGCUCAACCCCGUAUUGCGAUGGAAACUGGGUUUCUUGAGUGCAGGAGAGGAAAGGGGAAUUCCCAGUGUAGCGGUGAAAUGUGUAGAUAUUGGGAGGAACACCAGUGGCGAAGGCGCCUUUCUGGACUGUGUCUGACGCUGAGAUGCGAAAGCCAGGGUAGCGAACGGGAUUAGAAACCCUUGUAGUCC
rnacentral:rRNA from 1 species